rnacentral:rRNA from 1 species
GAUGAACGCUAGCGGGAGGCUUAACACAUGCAAGUCGAGGGGCAUCACGGGUAGCAAUACCUGGUGGCGACCGGCAGACGGGUGAGUAACGCGUAUGUAACCUACCCUGUACAGGGGGAUAACCCGGAGAAAUUCGGACUAAUAUCCCAUAAUGAUAUCUGGGGGCAUCUUCGGAUAUUUAAAGUUCCGGCGGUACAGGAUGGGCAUGCGUAACAUUAGCUAGUUGGUAAGGUAACGGCUUACCAAGGCUUUGAUGUUUAGGGGUCCUGAGAGGGUGGUCCCCCACACUGGUACUGAGACACGGACCAGACUCCUACGGGAGGCAGCAGUGAGGAAUAUUGGUCAAUGGGCGCAAGCCUGAACCAGCCAUCCCGCGUGCAGGAAGACGGCCCUAUGGGUUGUAAACUGCUUUUGUGCGAGAAUAAUAUGCCUUACGAGUAGGGUAAUGAAGGUAUCGUACGAAUAAGCAUCGGCUAACUCCGUGCCAGCAGCCG